rnacentral:rRNA from 2 species
GAUCCUGGCUCAGAACGAACGCUGGCGGCAGGCCUUAACACAUGCAAGUCGAACGGAUCCUUCGGGAUUAGUGGCAGACGGGUGAGUAACGCGUGGGAAGCUACCUUGUGGUAGGGAACAACAGUUGGAAACGACUGCUAAUACCCUAUGAGCCCUAUGGGGGAAAGAUUUAUCGCCAUGAGAUGUGCCCGCGUUAGAUUAGCUAGUUGGUAAGGUAAUGGCUUACCAAGGCGACGAUCUAUAGCUGGUCUGAGAGGAUGAUCAGCCACACUGGGACUGAGACACGGCCCAGACUCCUACGGGAGGCAGCAGUGGGGAAUAUUGGACAAUGGGGGCAACCCUGAUCCAGCCAUGCCGCGUGUGUGAUGACGGCCUUAGGGUUGUAAAGCACUUUCAGCAGUGAAGAUAAUGACAUUAACUGCAGAAGAAGCCCCGGCUAACUUCGUGCCAGCAGCCGCGGUAAUACGAAGGGGGCUAGCGUUGUUCGGAAUCACUGGGCGUAAAGCGUACGUAGGCGGACUGAUCAGUCAGGGGUGAAAUCCCGGGGCUCAACCCCGGAACUGCCUUUGAUACUGUCAGUCUUGAGAUCGAGAGAGGUGAGUGGAACUCCGAGUGUAGAGGUGAAAUUCGUAGAUAUUCGGAAGAACACCAGUGGCGAAGGCGGCUCACUGGCUCGAUACUGACGCUGAGGUACG